UAGGAUCGUGACGUACUUCAUGGAUGGCCUCAUGCAUGAUUUUGUUAAACAAGAUUUUGUCCGGAACCAAUCUGGAACUCUGUUUCACAGGCUGAGGCCUUCGUCGGCGAAUAUAAGAGUACUAGGAAGGAUCCCUCGGCUUCAUGGAAAAGCGCGCACACGUUGUCAUUUCGCAGUUGCGGAGGACCUAAGAACUCUAAACGUUCAAGGAGACUGGACGCAAUUGACCCAGGACCGAUACCAGUGGAGGAGAAUUCUUCAUUCUGCGUAGACUUACCGCUACGAACUGUAGCCUAUAAAGUAUUGAGUAAGUAGCAAAUAAAUUUUAAAUUUUCAGAUGCCUUUCUCAAUGUUUUACAGCUGUGACUGACUUGUGGUUUACGGCAAUACAGCACUCGGAAGAAAAGAAACCCACAUUUGGACCAGUCUACCGCGCACCUCUACGGUUGCUCCUUUCGAUCGUUUCGAUCCAUAACGUACACGACUUCAACCUUGACUGAAACACAAAUGACGCGGAGUCAUGCAACUGAUCAGCUUGUGAUCAGUUCGAUAGUGAUCUGAAUCGCAAUCGCAAUCGCGAGUCCUUAUCACGUGCCCCUACCCGUUGCACUUCAUACGUAAGGUAUAGGACUUUUUUUUAUUAUUGCUUGCGGUGACGUAUUUAUUAUCACGGUGUGUCUGGUAGAACAAAAUUAAUUUGAAAAAAUCGGUAUCGCUAAAACUCCCACCAAACGAAAGCUGAAGGUCCCCUCUUUCAUUUGAGACUAAAAGGAGAAAGUUCUAUCGGCGGGUCUAGAACAUUUUUUUUUUCAAAUAUUACUAUCUUUGAGGCUUGUGUUUUUUUUUUUCUUUUUUCAACCUUGCGUGUAGCCAAAUGGGCUUGUAUGAGGUCGCCCAUUAGUAACGUGUCCUUUUAAAAGAGUAAACGGGUCAAAUCAAAAAUUAAAAAUUUUCCUUACAAAAUAUUGCUUAGACAUAAAGUGCAAAAAAAAUAUUUAAGGCAGUUGAAUAUAAUUACAGCAGUAUCUGGGCAUAUAUACAAAUAAACUUCGCCUUUUAUACAUGUGGAAGUAGUUA